rnacentral:tRNA from 1 species
GGCCCGUUCGUUUAUCGGCUAGGACACCAGGUUUUCAUCCUGGCGGGAGGGGUUCGAUUCCCCUACGGGCUAC